rnacentral:piRNA from 1 species
UGCUAAGUUCUUUUCCUGGAUGGCCAUC